rnacentral:lncRNA from 1 species
CUCUUCGCUAUUUUUUUUUUUUUAAAGAUUUUAUUUAUUUAUUUGACAGAGAGAGAUCACAAGCAGGCAGAGAGGCAGGCAGAGAGAGAGAGAGGAGGAAGCAGGCUCCCUGCUGAGCAGAGAGCCCGAUGCGGGGCUUGAUCCCAGGACCCUGAGAUCAUGACCUGAGCCGAAGGCAGCGGCUUAACCCACUGAGCCACCCAGGCACCCAAGCACCCAAGCUCUUCGCUAUUAAAUCCACUCAAGGCUCCCUGAUCUCUACCUUGUUCUUGAGACUGCAGGAGACAUUUGGUCGUGGGACGCAGAUUCACAAAAGCGCACAGGACCGCUCAAAGAAUGGCGACGGAUGCCAGACACCCUGUGUGUGGGCACGCACGUGCGUGCACGCAUACGUACGCACGCACGCACGCGCGGCCAUGCACGCCCAGCCGACUGAAGGUGGAUGGGGUGGAAAUGUCCUCAGUGGCCUCCACUUCUCUCUCACAAAAUGGAAGUCUGUGUAGACUAACCUUUCGUCAAACACAGGAAAUCCAUCCAUUUUAUUGCGUGGAGGCCAAAGGAGCAAAUGAAUAUACACAUUUUGGAAAACAGAGAGAGGCAUGA